UUGUAUUUAUGAAAAACCUCGGAUAUUUGGGGAGGACUCGUCGUCAGAUGAUAAUUCUAGUGAUAGUGAUGACAAUGCUUACGAGAAGAAAACGAAAAAAGAGCGAGCGCAGAAGAAACGAUCGAAACAACAUGAUUGUAAUGAUCACGAUCACAGCCAGCAUUCUUCUGAUCUGCCAGGACCACCCACAUGACACAAUAGUCUCAUCCUUUUAACUUUUAUACAUAUAUAUUUAUUUUAAAUAAUUUGCUCAAAGCAAGGCCAUAUUAUAGUUUGAAUUCAUCGCUCAUAAACACUGAUUGGCACUCCAGAAGUGUGUGUACUAAUAUGGGGGUAACUAAUAUUGUUCCUAACCUAACUUUACAUCAAGUUGUGCAAAAGGACUGAAACCUAUGGGCAUGGGGUAUAUUCACUUGGCUAACACAGACAGUCCCCGAACUCGUAAUAGAACUAAAAUAAGGAAAAUCAAAAUUAUAGCCUAACCCUAACCUGGUACUUAUACUACGGGAGUACUCACUGGUUGAGGCAAGACAUGGGCAGUUCAUGUCAUUACGAUCAGUUCAAAAAGCUGUGAGAAAAUGUUUUUACGUACAAAUAUUUCAAAUUUUUUGGUUUAAGCGCAGAUUGCACAUUUCUAGUUUGAAUCUUGUUCCACUUCACCCAGGUAUUGAUUUGCACAUGAGAGAAUUUCUUACGUUUACCGUUUUUCCAAAUAAGAAGUUGUUCCAACCAUAUCAUUAGAUGCCGGUGGCCGCUUGUAAAAAUAGGGCGAUAGCAUUAUAACCAGGCACGAGAGUUGGUACUGCCGAAGUAUGUGAACCAAGAUGACGGACACCAGAACGUAGUAUGUGUACCAAGUUAGGGUUAGGCCAUAAUCUCAGGCACAAAUACUACGGAGUCAUUUGGCUAGUCCCCAAAGGAAUAUGGAAAAUUGGAAUAAAAUUAUGGCCUAAACUGGUACGUUCUGGUGUCCGCCACCUUGGUUCACAUACUUCAGUACCUGAGUUUUCACUGGAGCCGUAGUCUCAUUUAUUAACUCCUCAAGUCUACAAUUUAUAUUUUUAUGUAUUCAUAAUAACGACCCCAUAGGUGUUCGAAAAUCAUAAUACAAACCGUCUUAAGGGACUUUAGGGUUGAAAAAGUCUACACAGUGAAAAAUCUAUAAGCCCCAUAUUCUAACAGAUGACCUGUGGAUACAUCUUUUUUAUUUUCUGAUUGUUAAUUGUAAAACAUUCACCGUACUUACUGAUUUAAUACUUGUAUUUUAUAUUAAACUUGAGUUUCAAAA